UAUUUUAUUUUAAAUGUAUUAUCAGUCGUGGAAGACAAAAUGUGUUUAUUCUUAAAUAUAGGAAUAAUCAAAGGUUUUCUUCUGUAUAGUCACAGCUUCCAAUGUUUAAUUUGUUUUAAAGCACACGAUGUUGUUGUCAUUUAAUCCAGAUCAGGCUCAAUCCAACAGAUCUGUAACCCAUGAUGCUUCAUUUUAAUGUUUCCUCUAUAUCCCUAUAACAUGACAGAAAAACAGAACCCUCUGAAUGUACAAAGUCUUUUCCCUAGAUGAUAGAACAACUCAUCUUAGACAUUUAGAUAUUUUAGUCAAGACUACAUCAGGGUCAAGCAAAAAGGAUGGAGGUGCACAGCAGCCUGUUUUUGUUUUUUGUUUUUCUUUUCUUUUUUUUUUUGCUUUUUUUUUGUAAAAUAAUCAAGGAAGGUAAAAGAGUGUCCACAAUCAUUUUAAGAUUUACCUCCUCAGAGACUGUUGAUAUUAAUGUGGUUGAUGCCCACAAAAGAUUUAAAGUAAUGCAAAAGACACCCAAGGAAAAGCAUGUCGUUUGAACCAGGAGCUGUCUUCAUACAUUCAAGAAUACAUACAUUCACACACACAAAUAUAUAUAAAUAUAUAUGCAUAUACAUUAUAUAAAUACAAACAUACAUAUAUACAUACAUAAAAUCUUACAUAUGUAAAGACAUACAUACAUACUUACCUGUAUGUAUGUAUGUAUGUAUGUAUGUAGGAUACCUUUGAGUUUGUGUAAGAGAGAUUAAGAUUACAAUAAAAUAAUGAAAGGAAUAUGUAUUAAA